CCUUGUUAGACUUUUGCCCGGUUCAAGCCACUGCGAUUAAGAUUGGUUUCCAUCAAAAAAACAAAUAAAUGGUUGAUUACGUCCCUGCCCUUUGUACACACCGCCCGUCGCUGCCCGGGACUGAGCCAUUUCGAGAAAUUUGGGGACCGUUAAUUAAACAUUUAUUUGUUUUUUUGAUGGAAACCAAUUUAAUCGCAGUGGCUUGAACCGGGCAAAAGUCGUAACAAGGUAGCUGUAGGUGAACCUGCUGCUGGAUCAUUA
rnacentral:rRNA from 1 species